UACGUAGGGAGCAAGCGUUGUCCGGAAUCAUUGGGCGUAAAGCGCGCGUAGGUGGCCCUGUAAGUCCGUUGUGAAAGUCAAAGGCUCAACCUUUGAAAGCCGAUGGAUACUGCAGGGCUAGAGUACGGAAGAGGCGAGUGGAAUUCCUGGUGUAGCGGUGAAAUGCGCAGAUAUCAGGAAGAACACCAAUGGCGAAGGCAGCUCUCUGGGACGGUACUGACGCUGAGACGCGAAAGCGUGGGGAGCGAACAGG
rnacentral:rRNA from 1 species